rnacentral:rRNA from 1 species
GGGUGUGAUUAUACCAGCGUUAAUGCACCAGAUCCCAUAAAAAAUCCACAUUUAAGCGCACUUGGGCUAUAGUAGUACUGGGAUGCGUGACCUCCCGGGAUGUCCUAGUGUUGCACCCU